rnacentral:rRNA from 1 species
AGUGAACGCUGGCGGUAUGCCUAACACAUGCAAGUCGAACGGCAGCACAGUAAGAUCUUGCUCUUACUGUUGGCGAGUGGCGGACGGGUGAGGAAUACAUCGGAAUCUACUUUUUCGUGGGUGAUAACGUAGGGAAACUUACGCUAAUACCGCAUACUACCUACGGGUGAAAGCAGGGGAUCUUCGCACCUUUCGCGAUUGUAUUAGCCGAUGUCGGAUUAGCUAGUUGGCGGGGUAAAGGCCCACCAAGGCGACGAUCCGUAGCUGGUCUGAGAGGAUGAUCAGCCACACUGGAACUGAGACACGGUCCAGACUCCUACGGGAGGCAGCAGUGGGGAAUAUUGGGCAAUGGGCGAAAGCCUGAUCCAGCCAUACCGCGUGAGUGAAGAAGGCCUUCGGGUUGUAAAGCCCUUUUGUUGGGAAAGAAAAGCAGCAGGUUAAUACGCCGCUGUUCUGACGGUACCCAAAGAAUAAGCACCGGCUAACUUCGUG